CUGUACAUAAGUAAAACAUCCUCAUCUCUUCUUUUUGUUUCCAUAAGGAACAUUAUAUCCGGGGAGUUCUUAGAGCGAAACUCCUUCAGACGACGAACUGUCAAAUCGCUCCCAACACCUUGACAGUUCCAGCUCAUAGAGACUAAGGAAGAGGUUUUGGACCGGACCGAAAAUCCGUUCCUUUCUUUUUUGAAGCUGGAAUUAAGGU
rnacentral:lncRNA from 1 species